rnacentral:rRNA from 1 species
GUGGGGAAUAUUGGACAAUGGGCGAAAGCCUGAUCCAGCCAUGCCGCGUGAGUGAUGAAGGCCUUAGGGUUGUAAAGCUCUUUCAGUAGGGAAGAUAAUGACGGUACCUACAGAAGAAGCCCCGGCUAACUUCGUGCCAGCAGCCGCGGUAAUACGAAGGGGGCUAGCGUUGUUCGGAUUUACUGGGCGUAAAGCGCACGUAGGCGGAUUGGUCAGUUAUAGGUGAAAUCCUGGAGCUCAACUCCAGAACUGCCUUUAAUACUGCCAGUCUAGAGUCCAGAAGAGGUGAGUGGAACUCCUAGUGUAGAGGUGGAAUUCGUAGAUAUUAGGAAGAACACCAGUGGCGAAGGCGGCUCACUGGUCUGGUACUGACGCUGAGGUGCGAAAGCGUGGGGAGCAAACAGGAUUAGAAACCCUUGUAGUCC